CAGCCGCCACGGUAAUACGAAAGGUCCAAGCGUUACUCGGAAUUACUGGGCGUAAAGCGCGCGUAGGCGGUUUUGUAUGUCGAUUGUGAAAGCCCCGGGCUCAACCUGGGAACUGCAGUCGAAACUGCAAGACUUGAAUGUUGGAGAGGUUGGGGGAAUACCUAGUGGAGAAGUGAAAUUCGUAGAGAUUAGGUGAACACCAGAGGCGAAGGCGCCUGACUGGCCAAACAUUGACGCUAAGGCGCGAAAGCGUGGGUAGCAAACAGGAUUAGAUACCCGCGUAGUCCCUGUCUCUUAUACA
rnacentral:rRNA from 1 species